AGCGAACGCUGGCGGCAGGCCUAACACAUGCAAGUCGUACGAAGUCUUCGGACUUAGUGGCGGACGGGUGAGUAACACGUGGGAACGUGCCUUUAGGUUCGGAAUAACUCAGGGAAACUUGUGCUAAUACCGAAUGUGCCCUUCGGGGGAAAGAUUUAUCGCCUUUAGAGCGGCCCGCGUCUGAUUAGCUAGUUGGUGAGGUAAAGGCUCACCAAGGCGACGAUCAGUAGCUGGUCUGAGAGGAUGAUCAGCCACAUUGGGACUGAGACACGGCCCAAACUCCUACGGGAGGCAGCAGUGGGGAAUCUUGCGCAAUGGGCGAAAGCCCGACGCAGCCAUGCCGCGUGAAUGAUGAAGGUCUUAGGAUUGUAAAAUUCUUUCACCGGGGACGAUAAUGACGGUACCCGGAGAAGAAGCCCCGGCUAACUUCGUGCCAGCCGCCGCAGUAAGAC
rnacentral:rRNA from 1 species